rnacentral:rRNA from 1 species
CGUUCCGGGUCUUGUACACACCGCCCGUCACACCACGAAAGUCAGCAACACCCGAAGCCGGUGGCCUAACCCGCAAGGGAGGGAGCCGUCGAAGGGUGGGGCCGGCGAUUGGGUG